rnacentral:rRNA from 1 species
AUGCGUGGGCGUGGCGCGCCCACCCGAGGGCUGAAGGCACGGGCCGGCCGGACCAUAGCUUCUUCACCCUGUCUCGGGGACAGGCAGAGCAUUCAUUUGCCCUCGCCCGGACGUACGCAUAGCAUAAUUAGUACGGGUACAAUCCACUGUUGGCUUGGAACUCGGCGCCCCGGCGUCGCCAUCCGCCCCGCUCCAUGCCCGGCCCCGAACACCCAACACCGCGCGCAUCCACCAGCAGCGCCAGGUCGGAGCCUUAUCCGCAGCGGCCGGCUCCCCACGUACUCCACCGCGGUCCGUCCGGCGCUCCGGCGCGCAGCGGGCGGGAGCGGGAUGGUCCUCGAGCACGGGGGGGUCCUGGGGCACACGCGCCGGUGCGGCGCGCGUGGCCUCUCUCUCGCCGUGCUACCUAUAGAUUCUGCAGCAUGCACGGCAUCGGCAUGGCGUCCUAUAACUUAUGCUGGACAUAUUUGCCCUUACAUCUCGAUUGACCAGAACAGAGGAGCUCGUUCUCAUCCCCUCUCGCUCACAAAUGCAGCGACAGACGACGGCGGCUACUGGAAGACGGUGACGGCCCUGGGAUACUCGACGGCGGCGGCCCUGUGUGCACUGAUCGACCGAUUUGCUUCGUUUGAACGACUUGGUCGGCUCGCGUCGGACCGGCCGACCGCGCCACCCCCACUCCACUUCUCACUCACUCGCUCCUCUGCUCUCCCUGGGGCUUCAAUGGGGAAGGCGAAACCUAGCGGCGGCGACGGCCGCGGCGGCGGCGGCGCUUCCGCUGGUGAUGCUGGUGGUGAUGGAGAUCCACUGGAGCUCUGCGGGAGCUCGAAUCCUUCUCAGGCGGUGCCUCCUCCCCAAUCCCCGGACCCGCAGUACACGGCGGCUAGGGCAUUUGCCAAGGCGGUGAAGGCAAAUCCGACGGGCAGCCAGCACUUUGCAUCCUCCUUCGGCGGUGUGGUGUUGGAUGAUGAAGAAUGGGAAAGUUGGAAGGAUUUAGUUCAAGAGAUUAUAUGUAUUAUGUCAGAGAUCCAGGAGUUGGGGGUGUCGGGAAUGGAAGAAUUAACUGAUGAUGACAAGGUUGAAGAAAUGUUGGAUGACAUAUGCAGUAAAGGAAAUAAUGUGGUUAACAUUACAGUUAUGAGAAGUGAUGCACCCACACCAGCUGACCUGAACAUUGGUCAUGUUUAUGAAGAGCAGGUCCCUUUGUCUGAAUUAGGUGUACCACUUAUCUAUGAGGUAGAUACUUCAGGAGUUCUUUCCCCCAGUCCAGUUAAGCCCCAACCACAGCCUAUCCAGGUCAUGAACACCCAAGAGAGUUCAUGUUUGAAGCUAAAGGGUCCAAGUGAACCAGAGUUUGCAUUGGACUAUGGUAGUGAGAGGCAUGAGUACUUCAUGGAGACAGACCAAGAUCAAGAGAAGAUUGAGAAGAUGAUGGAGCAAAGGAGGAAUGAAGAGAUUGAAAAGUUUAGGACCAAUAAAAAACAAAAAGAGAAGUACAAGGAAGCAAAGAGAAAACUUCUAGAGCUGCUUGCUGAAGAGUUCACUGACAGUGAUAGUGACAAUGAGAUUUUAGAAGAUGAAGACAUAAUAGCUAGGCUGGAGGCAAUGAAGAGGCAUGGAGUUGAUCCUCUCAAUCACUUUGAAGGAGACACUGAUGUAGAAGAGCUUUAUCAACCAGAUGAGGAGGAGUUGGAGGAUGAAGUAGGAGAGGAGGAGGUAGGACAGGAUGAGCAAGCUGAGGAGGGUAGGAGAGGAGGAAGCACUAUAGGAGGAAGUAGUGCAGGAGGAAGCAGCAACACAGGAGGAAGCCAGAGGAAGGGGCCAACAACCAGAUCACAUGGAAGUCUUGAACAAAUCAUAGAGCAAGAUUGGAUACCUUCAUCUGAUGAAGAGAGCAACCCAGAUGUCCAACAAUUCAGGAGAGCACUUCCUACAUUUCACAUCUCACAAAACAGGAACUACUCUUUUCAUAGAAACUGCUCAGAUAGAGUUAUUACAGUUUGCAGUACAGAAGACUGUCCUUUUUUCAUUGCUGCUUCUCAAAUAGCACAUGAGAAAACUUUUUGUAUAAAGAAGAUGAGCUUGUACCACAAUUGUGCUGCUGUAGGAGAGAGCACCAAAGUGACUGCAAGAUGGUUGGCACAUGAGUGUGAGGAACAGUUGAGGGCAGACAUAAACACACCAGUCCAAACCAUAAUAGCCAAUUUGAAGAAUAAACAUGGAAUAGAAGUGUCCAUUCACAUGGCCUACAGAGCAAGGAAAGCAGCUAAGAGUGUUGUCCAAGGAUAUCAAAGGGCACAAUACACAAGGAUAAGGGAUUACCUCCAAGCUGUGUUGGAUACCAAUCGAGGAAGUAGAUGCAUUGUUACAACAAAGCAAUUGAAGGCCCAUCCUAGCAUAAAUCCUAGAUUCCAUGGCUUGUUCAUGUGCCUCAAUGCUUGCAAAAAGGGUUUCCUAAAUGGUUGCAGACCCUUCAUAGGUGUUGAUGGCUGCUUCAUUAAGUUGACCACGGGGCAGCAAAUACUGGCUGCAACUGGUAGAGAUGGUAAUAACAACAUAUUUCCCAUUGCAUUUGCAAUUGUUGACAAGGAAGACACUGCCAGCUGGUCAUGGUUUCUAACACAACUGAAGUAUGCUCUUGGUGGUGAGUCAGGGAAGCAUGGCUACUACACUAUCAUAUCUUAUAGACAAAAGAACUUCCAAACAGCUGGCUUUAGAGGUGAAGAGUUAAAGAAAUACAUGGAUCAGGCUAGUUAUUCAUAUACUGAGCAUGGAUAUAAUCAAGCAAUGGACGGAAAACCAAUUAAAACCAUGGUUGAUGGGAUCAGAACAAAAUUGUUAGUUAAGUUCAAUGCCAAUAGGACCAAGACAGAGACAGGUAAGUGGCAGAUAUGCCCAACAUAUGCUGAAAAGCUGGAAGAAGCUAAACAUCAUUCCAGAUUCUGUCAGUCAAUCAAGGCUGGACCUGAUCUAUACCAGGUUGCAAGUGGAGAAAGCACAUAUGCAGUAAAUCUGAAAGAUUACACAUGUGGGUGUAGAAAAUGGGACAUGACUAGGGUUCCUUGCAAUCAUGGUGUUUCUGCAAUUAACAAGGCUAAACUACAUCCAGAAGAUUUUGUUAAUGCUUUCUUCAAGAAACCAAUGUAUCAACAAGCCCACAGUCCAAUUGUCUCCCCUGUGCCUGGGCCUAAUCUAUGGCCAAAGACUGGGACCCCUGACAUAGAGCCACCUGUUUUCAGAGACAAGCCAGGAAAGAAGCAUACAAAGAGGAGAAAGAAUCAGUUUGAGAAGCCAGCUCCCAAGGAUACUUCUAGGAUGGCAUCAAUCACUUGUAGUAAUUGCAAUUUGAGUGGGCAUAGGUACACUAGCUGCCACAAAAAUCUGAAGACAGCCCUUGCAAUGAGAAGGAACCAACACCAGGAAAACGGAAGAGUUGAUGCAGCUUCAUCAGCCCCAAGGGCAGCUCCAUCAGUACCCAGGGUAAGAACUACAGCUCCACCAGCACCUAGGCUAGCUCCAUCAGCUCCAGCAGUUCCCAAGGCAAGAACUACAGCUCCACCAGCACCUAGGCCAGCUCCAUCAGCUCCUCCUGCAACUAGGAGAGCAACUGCAUCUACUGUUGCUGCUUCUAGGCCAAGUUCAUCUACUGCUGCAGCUAGAAGGCCAAGUUCAUCUACUGCUGGUGCUUCUAGGCCAAGUUCUUCUACUGCUGCAAAGAAAACAUUCAUACCACCUAGAGCUUCAGUUUGUGAUGUUGAAAACAAUUUCAAGUUUGUGAUGUUCAAAACAGCUGUGAGUUUGUCAUGUUCAAACCAGUUUAAUUCAGCCUAUUUUGGCUACUUUGUGAUGGCACUAUACUUUGUUGCAUCAAGCUAUUUAGGAUUUUAUAUUAAUGAUGAUGAUGUUGUUGUCACUUAG